rnacentral:sRNA from 1 species
CAUGCCCCUUAUACGCUGGGCUACACACGUGCUACAAUGGGUAGAACAGAGAGUUGCAAAGCCGUGAGGUGAAGCUAAUCUCAGAAAACUAUUCUUAGUUCGGAUUGUACUCUGCAACUCGAGUACAUGAAGUUGGAAUCGCUAGUAAUCGCGAAUCAGCAAUGUCGCGGUGAAUACGUUCUCGGGUCUUGUACACACCGCCCGUCACACCACGAGAGUUGGUUGCACCUGAAGUAGCAGGCCUAACCGUAAGGAGGGAUGCUCCGAGGGUGUGAUUAGCGAUUGGGGUGAAGUCGUAACAAGGUAUCCGUACGGGAACGUGCGGAUGGAUCACCUCCUUUCUAAGGAGUAUAAGUCUUUCUCUAUUCUAUUGGUAAUGUUCUUUACAUUACUUCUGAACAUUGGAAACUAUAUAGUAGAACAAACAAGAAAAAAAAUUAACUCUAACAAUUUCUUAGAGUUAGCUGUCAAAAAAUAGAUUAAAAUAAUUAAGGGCACACAAAGGAUGCCUAGGUAGUAAGAGCCGAUGAAGGACGUGGUAAG